ACAGGAGGAACUUCUUCAGUAGGAAUAGGAGGAGAGGCUUUGGUUUCAUGUAUGUUUCAAAGCUGAAAUGAUUGUCCUUCUUGUGUAAUUUUCACCAUGAUGGCAAGUCAGGGGACAGAAUCCAUGGCCUGCUGUCUGCUGUGGAUCUCAGGGAGAGGAACAACCUUCAGACAAGGGAAUGCAGUCUGUCCAGGCCAUCACUUCCGGGGCCAACUCUAAGAGUGCUAUUUGGAAUUUCAAAACAUGCACACAACACCAUGCCUACAUUGACAAUAUUUCACGGGACUGUAAACACUUUUGAUGCCAAGACUCUGUCCUAUUCCUCUCUACAUGCCCAGCAGCUGCACAGUCCCUGAACUACCUAACAAGGAUCUAGAAAAAUCUUGAGAAAGGAA
rnacentral:lncRNA from 1 species